UGGCUGAGCGGUAAAGCGCUUGGCUUCUGAACCGGGGACCCGGGUUCAAAUCCUGG
rnacentral:tRNA from 1 species